AGGGAAUUAGUUUAAUGGUAAAACUAUGGUCUCCAAAACCAUCGAUAAGUGUUCGAUUCGCUUAUUCCCUGCCA
rnacentral:tRNA from 1 species